rnacentral:rRNA from 1 species
AUGGCAGACGCCGGCUCUCAUAUCGCCGCCGUCGUCGCCACCUCCAUCUGCGCCCACUGUCAACGAGAAAUUCCAUCGUCAAACAUCGACUUGCAUUCCGUACACUGUGCUCGUAACCUUCAAAAGUGCGAGCACUGUGGAGAAAUGGUUCCCAGGAAGCUUAUGGAAGAACACUACAAUGAAAAUCACGCUCCGGUAAAUUGCUCCCUGUGCAAAGAAACCUUGCGACCGGAGAUACUUGAUCUUCACAAAAGUGAACAGUGCACACAGAGGAUGGUUGCGUGUGCAUAUUGUGAGUACGAAUUGCCUGCAAUUGAUAUUCAUGAACAUCAGGAUGUAUGUGGAAACCGAACGGAGUUUUGUCAAACAUGCAAGAAGUAUAUUAGACUUCGUGAAUGGAUAGGGCAUGAAAUGCAGUGCCACGUUAGCUCAAAUGGUUCUGAAGAAUCAUCAAGUGCCAGAACCAUUCCAGAGAGAGAAGUGCGGCCUCCUCCACCGGUACGACCAGCGCGUGCUGUGCCUGCUGCACAACACAGGCGACUUCUCUUUACGAUUGCUGUAACUGGAAUCGCCGUCAUGGUUGGAUCAAUACUGUUCCAGAAGGAGGAGAGUUUCUAG